AUAAAGUUUUAUUCUAGCUUAGAAUUUUAGUCUAUUUUUUUUUUACAUGUUAGUGUUUAUGUUUAUAAAACAUUUUUGCAGUAUUUAAUAUUAUAAAUUAAGUUACCUUAGAUUUAGAAAUUAAUUAUUAGUUUUGAUAAAGUUUGUGCCAGCAAUUGCGGUUAUACAAACGAUGCAACUAAAAAUUUUUGGUUAAUAAUUAAAUGUUUAAUAAAAAAUAAGAAUAUUUAUUUUUAGUAAAAAAAUUUAUUAUUAAGUUUUUUAGGUGAAAUUUUAAAUUUGGUAUAAGUUUAUUUAUUGUUUUUGAGGUUAUUAAAAUUUUGUUUUAGACUAGGAUUAGAUACCCUAUUAUUGAAAUUAUAAAUUUUUAAUAUGCCUGAUUAUUAGUAGAUUAUAUUCUUGAAAAUUAAAGAUUUUGGCGGUAUUCUAGUCUAUUCAGAGGAACCUGUCCUGUAAUUGAUAAUCCACGAUUUACUUUACUUUUUCUUUUAGUUAGUAUACCGUCGUGAUACGAAUAUUUUAUAAGAAUUAUAAUAUUCAAUAGAUUAAAUUAUAUUUUAUGUCAGAUCAGGGUGCUGCUUAUGAAAAAGAAGAGAUGGGUUACAAUAAAAUUAUUUUUGGUUUACUUUUUUGAAUAUUAGGUAAUAAAUUGGAUUUGAAUGUAAAAAUUUUAAAAUAAUAAUUUUGAUUUUGGCUCUAGAAUAUGCACAUAUUGCCCGUCGCUCUCGUUUAAUGUGAGAUAAGUCGUAACAUAGUAGAUGUACUGGAAAGUGUAUCUAGAAAGA
rnacentral:ncRNA from 1 species